rnacentral:lncRNA from 1 species
UUCAUCAGAGUCCCAUGAGCAGGAAAAUUUACAAAAAUUUCCAAGUGUGUUCUGUGCUGGAAUGUCUCUUUGAACUUUGGUAGAACAGUCAGGUCCUAUGUUUGAUCAACAGAGCUUGGGUAUCUCUGCACCAGUAGGGUCCAUGUCGUGUGAAUGGAGGCCCCACUUUCCCUGAUGACCAUAGUGUGAUAAACUCAAGGUCAGAGAUUUGAGGAAUGUCUGAUGGACCUCAUUAUUAGUUUGGACAUGACUUGCUUAUUUUUAAGAUCCAUAAAGAACAUGAGUUCUAGGGUCUCUGUUAGGUAUUUGAAAGCCUGUGCCUUCCCUCCCAGGUCCACAUUGCCUCAACAAUAACGUCUGCUGGGAGUUUAAAUUCUGACUUUGUUCUCCUUUUUAUAAUCAGAACUCUUUCACCUUUGGCUGAAAUUUGACCUAUUUCAAGUUCUUCUAAAUUAAUUUUCUUAUCUAUCUAUGGUAUAUAGAUCAUUUUCACCCAUUUAAGGAUUUCUGAAAAUAAGAAGAAUAAUCUGUGGUAGAUUAAAGAUGGCUGCAAAUUUUUUGCCUCUCUUCCAAUUAAAGUGUAGGGUCUAAUCCCUCCGCCCUUGAUUGGCACUGGCUUUAUGAACUCAUUAACCAACGGAAUACAAUACAAGUUACAUUCUGAAAUUCUGAGGCUAGUUCAUAAUAAUUCUUGCAGCUUCUGCCUGGAGCUCUUGGAACAUUUUCUCUUGGCCCCUAAGACAAAAUGAAAAGAAAGUCCCAGAUAAGCUCAGACUUUCAGUCCUCCCACCGAGGCACCAACCAUGUGAACAUGGUUACUUAAACACUUAGUCUAAGAUGGAUGAUGGAUCUCCCAGGCUGAAAGAAAGAAGAUAAGAAAAGCAAUAUGGUGACCUUACAAAGGAAUAGAGAUCCAGCUGGAGACUACGAAGAAAAUAGGAGAUCAGAAAACAGACUAACCAUCGCAAAACAAGAUAAUUCAGCAAUAGAAAAAGACGGUUUCACCAUAAAUAGAGAAACUGCGAUAGGGAAAGCAGAUAUGAAAAUUGAUGAAUGAAAGUACAGUUACUGAGGAGUCAAAAGGAGAAUUGAAGAAGAUCCAGAUGAUAUUCUCUUCACAAAGACAUUGAAAAAUAUUUGGUGGAAGGAGCAAGAACAUCUUUGGGAAGAAAUGUAGUGACUAUUCUCUGUGCUAAGAGAUGAUAAGAAACAGACAAGACAACAAGAGAAAAAGAUAGAAGAUACCAAGAGUUGGUGAAGAAAUGCAGCAACUGAAACUCUUAUAAUACUGCUGGUGGACGUAUAAACUGCAACAAACAAUUUGGAAAACCAUUUGGCAGUGUUUACUAAA